GUGUCGUGGGAGUGGCCCAAGAAAUAGCAACAACAACAACAACAAAAGACAAAAAAAAAAAAAAUUAUUUAUCUAGAAAUUUUAGAGCUGUAACCAUUGACAUGGAUGUGAGUAAAUGGAUAAUUCCCUACUUUAGAACACACGGCACUAUUCAUUUCCAACACAACAGUGUCAAUGGCAUUAUUGAACAAGUAUAGCUAUAAUAAAAAAGUGUCUCAACAUGACCCAUUUAUACUUAUGGUCCUUUUCCCAAGCAGAUUUGCAUUCAUCACAAUUACAGACAUGAAGUCUGUCUAUUAUUAACUCCAUUUUUACCUCGAUCAAAAAUUACCACUCAUUCUAUUUCUGGUAUAGAUUACUCCCAGACCUGCUGGAAUAGAAGCCAAGCCACUGCUUCCAAUGAUAUAAACCCCUUUUUCUGCACUUUCUCCUUAUACUUCCAAUACAUUAGCUCCAGAAAAGAAAAGAUUCAGGACAAAAGAACUUAAUCACAGCUAUACAGAGACAUCUAGACCAGUAAUGCAUGAUUUAACCUUUAAAGACAAAGAAGCAAGUAAACUUUGAAAAUGCUAGCCAGUGUGGCUCUGUAGCAAAAUGCUGUCACAAUAUUAGUCAUUUAUUCAGCAAAUAUAACAAUCAAGAUAUCCAGGUGGUAUGGGACAUACAUUUAUCUGGCUUAAUUCAUUUUUAGAAUGACUUUUAAAUGCAAAUAGCAUGAAAAAUUUAUAUAGAAAAAUAAAAGGAAAGCAAAAAACUACUUCAACUCACAUUUUGAGAAAAAUACCAUUACAGAAUGUAUCUGUGCAUAUAUAUACAUAAGUAGAAUGAUAGAAUGGUAGGAAAAGAGAGGAUGCAGUUUUAGAUUUACAGAAAAUUUGAGAAUAGAGAGUUCCCAGGUAGCCCCCACCCAGUUUUCCUCUUACAAUUUCUACCUAACAUUUGUUAUAAUUAACUAAAGUCCAUAUCCUACCACUUCAUGGUACUACUAAGUCUAUAAUUACUUCUACAGCAGGAGGGAACUACAUAAAUCAACAUUCCAUUUUCAAAAGACUCGAAAUAAAUGAGGUUGUAGGGGAAACAUUUUCAAGAAAACUGAAGCUAAGACAUUUGAGCUUUCAUGAAAUUCCAUCUCUAAACUCUAAAGAGGAGUCAUCCACUUGUAAAAUAUGUCUGUAAAAUAGCACUAAAUAUUUUUCACCUUAACAGAAAGUUGCAUUGUUCAUUUUGUUCUUUCUUUUUUCAUUUUACACACCUGAGGUUCUCCACAGAUGUCAAUACAGCUAGUUCCAUUUCUGAUAUAUGCUGUUACUAAAGGUUCUCCAUAAAAUUGUUACUAGGGGAAUAAAGAAAACCAACAUUUGGUUCUUACUUAGUAAGCUUAAAUGAAAGAACACUAAUGAGUUUUGGAAGUACAGCCUUGGUUUUUAAGGAAUCCCAUAUUUUAAAAGUAGCCUAAAGAGAAAAUGAGAAAAUAAUGCAACUGCAAUAUAUCACUCUCAAAGAGUGAAUAAAGGCAUGAAGGAAUUAAAGCACAAUGUGGGCUGACAUCUACCCAACAACAAAUGAGAAGUUUUAUAAGCAUGAUUCAUUUGAGUUGAACUCUAAGGAAAAUUAGGGAUUUGCAGAAAAAGAAACAUCCAGAUAAAGGAAAAAAGUCUACCUAAAAGUAUAAAAAAGGGGUGGUUGUGGUCAGGACACCUAAAGCAGCAGGUAGUUGAGAGGGAAGUGGUAAGAAAUGAUUCUGGAAAAAACACCUGGGCCAAAUCGGGAAUGACUCUGAUGGUCAUGCUAUCAAGAUUGAACUUGAUCUUUUCUGCAUGAUUAGGCCUUCCUGGAGGAUUUUCCACAGAACAGCGGUGGAAGAUUGCAGCACAGACAUAUCACUGGGCCUUUGGCAGUGGAAAACAAAAACUCCUGGCAGAUUCUGCUAGAAAUGCAUAGACUGCAUAUUCUGAUACAAAGAAAGGCUGACAACUUACUGUUCCUACACCACUGAGGACAACUGUUCCCUGUUUAGACAUUUCAUCAAGUGAGACUGGUUUAGGGAAUGAAACGAAGUCCGGACAAGAUCUGAACAAUCACUCUCUUCCUCCGGGCCUGGAGCAGGGCUUGGGGAGCCCGACGACGAACUCAGGGAAGAGAAACGCUCAUUCCAGGAGGCUGGAACCCUCAGCCCUGAGAAGGGGACUCAGGGGGUAGAGUGGCUGUGGCGGCGGGCGGAGCCCCGGGGUUCCUGAGCCCCAAGCAGAGCGCCCUCUUUAUUCUGCUUCAGGGCAGCCUCUCCAGAAACCUGCUGCAGCUUCCUCAGGGCCCAGGGCAGGGGGGGUGCUCCGCUAUGGGGACAUCUGUUCUCGGGCCACCUCCUCUUCAGUCACCAACGGACUGAUGAAGCUCGGGCUGGGCCGAGUCCACGGGGCCAGCGCCUCGGGCAACGACCCCACUAACGGUCACUGCAACGGUCACUGCAACCGUCCCCGCGCGGAGGACGCUUGUCCCCCAGAGCCCCGCCCCCUCUGCGCCUACUCCCAGGGGGUCUUCCAGGAGCUGCCGCCCGCGCCACGGGCACUGGCAGUUGAUCAGAGCCCAGAGCUCGGGCCCAGCGGAAGCACAUCCAGCUUUGUCGUUGCUCUGGCGUAGCUCUGUCGCCCCCUGGUGUCUACUCUUCUCAUGAAGGAUGCAGGGAAGGAGCCCAUUACUCCUUUCGCAGGAGAAGAGUUCAGCAGCACCUUUCUGAUGGCUGAGAGAGCACUGCUCACUCUGACAACCCUUUUUAUUAUUUUCGAGGCACGUUGUCCAAGGGUGUCUGCAGAGCUGCGUGGAGGUGGAAGGCGGGCCCAGGGUCUGGGGUCUCCACACAUUUUUGCCUCAGCCCUCCCACGACCCCACUCUGCCCCGCCCUCUGCCUCAGCCCUGCACCCCCCCCAACCUGGGUGCCCUCAUCUGGACCCCCUUCAUGAUGAGGGGAUGCAGCUAAUGGUGAAGCUCCUCAGGGAAGGAACUCCCAGACCUGUGCUGCCUUUGAGCUGCCAGGGAAGGUGAAGGUUCAGGACGUCCUCAAAAUGCAGAAGAUAGCAAAGUUUCUUCAGCAGUGGUCAUUCAUAUAGUCAGACUUUUUAGUAUCAAUAAAUGAUUAAAUACAUAAUUAAAUGGGGAAAGAGUCAAAUCCCCAAGUACAAAGGCAUUCCAAAGCACCAGGGCAAGAACAAGGGGGUCUUACUUGGCCUCGGGUACAAAAUAUAUUUGAUUAUAUCUGAAAAAUGCAGUAAUCAAAUACUUUUCUAAACAUAAAAAUAAAUAGAAAAGUCCAUGAUGAACAAAAUAUGAAAUAUUUAAAUAUACAUAGGACCAGUGUUUAAGAUUUUUAUUUGGCCUCAGACUCCAAUAUGAUUAGGAACAAUAUUGAUACUCAUGCAGGGACCGAAAGUUACCUGAUGACACAAACAUCACCAGUUUGACCCUGACUCAGACUGCCUUUCUCCUGCCUGCCUUCAUGUUUUUCAAAACGUACUCAUUGAGAGCCUACUAUGUGCCAGAUUCUGCCCUAGGCACUAAAGAUAUAGUGGUAUGAAAAGGGGGGGGGAGUGAAGUCCUCUUCCCUUAUGAAAUUCACAUUCUAGUAAGGAAGACAUAUAAUUGUUAGAUGUUAGAGAAUGUAAGCUAGAUGGUGAUGAGAAUAAUAGAGCCCAGAAGAGAGAUGUGAAGAUGGAUGGGGUUGUGUGUGAAAUGUUUCUAUCUCAUAUAAAAAAAAGAUAAGCUUGCCUUGCAGGUAGAUGGGACAUUUUCCUCUGACAUCACUGGCAGGUCCUUCAACAGGACUUUGGGUGGAGCUGGGAGGAGGCAGCAAAUGUUAGCACAUCGGGUGGCUCAUCAGGACCUACUCAAGUAGUCUGGCUUGAUGUGGAUGUGGGCUGGGAGAGUAUGGAUGUAGGAGGUUAAUAAAUAUUGACUGAGCUCCACUUGGGCCAAUACCUUUGGUGGAUGAUGAAGACAAAAGAAAGGAGCAGCAAGAAAUAAAAACAGAGCCGUGGGCUUUCUAGGUAUGGGGAACCUAGUCGAUGUGUUUCAUAGUCAGUCUGCAAAAGAAUAAACACCAAAAUCAUGCUCUGAGAGGAAACGAGAGUGAGCCCUGGUGUCUCUAAUCCAGCUGUGCAGGAGGCUGCAACAGGGUGAUGAGCACCUGGCUAACAACCAAGUUUCAUUCAGAGUCUUAUUUGCAUCUGUCCCUUCCGUAUGUGUGUGUGUGCUUACAGGAUCUUAGCAUUUCUAAGGCUGAUAGUACUGUUACCCAAGACAAUACAAUAUCUCCCUGACCCUUCCCAGCUUUUGGUCACAUGCUAAACAAGGACCCCAGCACCACAGACGUUGCCCUGCAUGGUCCUACAUGGAGCCUCAUACUUCUGAGACUCUGGGAACUGACCAGCAGCAUGCUGGCUUCCCGGUGUGUUUCACACUCAUGACCCUGCCCAAGGCAGCUGCUCAAUGCACCUAUAGCUGCGCUGGCUUCGGUGACCACCGAGCCACCUUAUAGGGCUGGGUGGCAUCUGCAGACCCCAGUGCUUCCAGGCAUGGACACUGAGCCAGGACCCUCUUGACCCAGGGCUGAUGUCCCUAUGCCUGUGGGAUACGCAGAGGUUAUCGGUCUAGAACAUCCACAUUGGGACCUUGCCUGGGUUCACAUUUUGCUUUUUCCACUUAGGAGGUCAAGAGCUUGGGCUGUAUAUCUCUACACCAUCUCCUUGGGAUGGGAGAGAAUUUUAAACAAAAUUUUGGUAACAGCUACAAGCUGUGGGAAGAAUAAAUGAAUGGCCAGAUAGAGAGCAAGGGUGAUGAGAACUUUUGCUUGUAGGAUGUACUGUGCUGCCUAACUGGGAAUUAGGUCCUGAGGAAACACAUGCAUUCGCACUUGCAGAGUCACAGUCGCACCAAUAGGGUCGCACAUGGACAAGCCACUAAUGCUCCUAAGUGCAAACCUUCGGCAUCUAAAUGACUUUCUUUCUUCCAGGGACUAAGUAGCAUGGGCAUCUCAAUUUUCGGGGAAAUUAGUUUCUUUCACUCCAUCCCCACCCCUCAUUCCCCGCAGAAACUCAGACUCAGGGUAUCUCUCCACCAAAGCAGCAAGAAAGCCCACCUUUGGCAUCACCUAGACUUCUCCUUGGCAGAGGAGGGCUUUCAGGAUACAUGAUAUGGCUAAUGUUUUCUGUCUCACCCACCUGCGACUAGAGAAAAUACAACACUGUGCAGACUCACAGAUAUAGAGAUGAACUAGGGGUUACCAUUGGAGGCAGGGAGGGUCAUAAGUGGGGUAUGGGACAAAAGGGUACAAACUACUAUGUAUAAAAGAAAUAAGCAACAGGAUAUAUUGUACAGCACCUAGAACAUUACCAUUAUUUUCAAACAACAUUUACUGCAGUAUAAUCUGGAAAGAUGGAGAACCACUAUGCUGUGCACCUUAAACUAAUAUAAUAGUGUAAGUCCACUAUGAUUCAAUAAAAAAUUAAACCCUGUGGGGAUCACUGCAUCCUGUGCGGUACAGGCACAGACUAUUCAUCUUCCUGGUGACCUUAAGAAACUGAGAAACCAGAUUGGACACUGUGGCUGAAUAAAUAGAACAGAACAAAACAAAAGUGAAGAUACCUGUGGAAAGGGCUCCAGCUAUUCAUGGAAGAUCUGUCAAAUUCAUCUUGACUGGCAAAAACAAAAUUUUCAAGUAGGAAAAUAUUGUGCCAUGGAAAAUGCUUCCUACUGUACAGUUUGUAACUCAAGCUCUUAUUUCUCAAAUGUCCUUUGAAUCAGGUAUCUAUUGGUAAUAGACUGGGUCAAUAUUUCCACAAACAAGGAAUUUGUAUAUAUCUAUAAUGUACAUUGCCACAU